GGUUAAUAUUCCCGUACUUGGUGUUACUGCGAAGGGGGGACGGAGAAGGCUAUGUUGGCCGGGCGACGGUUGUCCCGGUUUAAGCGUGUAGGUGUGUGUUCCAGGUAAAUCCGGUUCACUUUAACACUGAGGCGUGAUGACGAGGCACUACGGUGCUGAAGCAACAAAUGCCCUGCUUCCAGGAAAAGCCUCUAAGCAUCAGGUAACAUCAAAUCGUACCCCAAACCGACACAGGUGGUCAGGUAGAGAAUACCAAGGCGCUUGAGAGAACUCGGGUGAAGGAACUAGGCAAAAUGGUGCCGUAACUUCGGGAGAAGGCACGCUGACACGUAGGUGAAGUGAUUUACUCAUGGAGCUGAAGUCAGUCGAAGAUACCAGCUGGCUGCAACUGUUUAUUAAAAACACAGCACUGUGCAAACACGAAAGUGGACGUAUACGGUGUGACGCCUGCCCGGUGCCGGAAGGUUAAUUGAUGGGGUCAGCGCAAGCGAAGCUCCUGAUCGAAGCCCCGGUAAACGGCGGCCGUAACUAUAACGGUCCUAAGGUAGCGAAAUUCCUUGUCGGGUAAGUUCCGACCUGCACGAAUGGCGUAAUGAUGGCCAGGCUGUCUCCACCCGAGACUCAGUGAAAUUGAACUCGCUGUGAAGAUGCAGUGUACCCGCGGCAAGACGGAAAGACCCCGUGAACCUUUACUAUAGCUUGACACUGAACAUUGAGCCUUGAUGUGUAGGAUAGGUGGGAGGCUUUGAAGUGUGGACGCCAGUCUGCAUGGAGCCGACCUUGAAAUACCACCCUUUAAUGUUUGAUGUUCUAACGUGGACCCGUGAUCCGGGUUGCGGACAGUGUCUGGUGGGUAGUUUGACUGGGGCGGUCUCCUCCUAAAGAGUAACGGAGGAGCACGAAGGUUGGCUAAUCCUGGUCGGACAUCAGGAGGUUAGUGCAAUGGCAUAAGCCAGCUUGACUGCGAGCGUGACGGCGCGAGCAGGUGCGAAAGCAGGUCAUAGUGAUCCGGUGGUUCUGAAUGGAAGGGCCAUCGCUCAACGGAUAAAAGGUACUCCGGGGAUAACAGGCUGAUACCGCCCAAGAGUUCAUAUCGACGGCGGUGUUUGGCACCUCGAUGUCGGCUCAUCACAUCCUGGGGCUGAAGUAGGUCCCAAGGGUAUGGCUGUUCGCCAUUUAAAGUGGUACGCGAGCUGGGUUUAGAACGUCGUGAGACAGUUCGGUCCCUAUCUGCCGUGGGCGCUGGAGAACUGAGGGGGGCUGCUCCUAGUACGAGAGGACCGGAGUGGACGCAUCACUGGUGUUCGGGUUGUCAUGCCAAUGGCACUGCCCGGUAGCUAAAUGCGGAAGAGAUAAGUGCUGAAAGCAUCUAAGCACGAAACUUGCCCCGAGAUGAGUUCUCCCUGAGACUUAGAGUCUCCUGAAGGAACGUUGAAGACGACGACGUUGAUAGGCCGGGUGUGUAAGCGCAGCGAUGCGUUGAGCUAACCGGUACUAAUGAACCGUGAGGCUUAACCUU
rnacentral:rRNA from 1 species